CAGGGAAGUUGACAUGUCAUCACUUCAUUUUUUUGCGCCUGCGCAUAAAUCUGAGAAACGUGAGUUUGUCAUCAUUGUUUAUCUAGACAUAGGAUAGGUUGUGUGAAAAUAUUACUGAUGUUUAACGUUAAAAAUGGACCAAAAGAUUAAUGCUAAACAACAUUUGACAUGUUUGAACUAACGUAAAUAGAUUAUUUACUAGGUUUUUUUAGCUUUUCGGCGUGAUUUUACACCCCCCCACCACGUUUUGUGGGAGCAUAAUGAACGCUAAGUACUUGGUGUUAUUUGGACAUAAAUUAUGAACUUUGUCAAAAGAAACCACAUUUGUUCCGGACCUGGGAAAUCCUGGCAGUGCCUUCUGAUGGAGAUAAUCAAAGGAGUAUCAUCUGAUGGAGAUUGACAAAGGUUAGUGCAUAAUUCUAGCUGGUUUCUGCUUUUGGUGACGCCUGACCUUGAAUUGAAAAUGGAUGUUUGUACUUUUGUGGCUAUGUACUGUCCUAACAUAAUCUAACUUUAUGCUUUUGCCGUAAAGCCUCUUUGAAAAUCGAACAAUGUGGUUAGAUUAAGGAGAUGUUUAUCUUUUAAAUUGUGUAAAAUAAUUGAUUGUUUGAGAAAUUGAAAUUAUUAGAUUUUUGAUGUUUUGAAUUUCCAGCCUUGUUAGCAAUCCCGACUCGGGGUUCAUUGCUAACCUGUAGCCCCAACGAAACCUGUUUUCGCUUUGUCGUCAUGGGGUAUUGUGUGUAAAUUGCUGAGGAUUAUUUGUUAUUUAAUCAAUUUUAGAAUAAGUCUGUAACGUAACAAAAUGUGGAAAAAGUCAAUGGGUCUGAAUACUAUCCGAAGGCACUGUAUAUACAGUACCAGCCAAAGGUUUGGACAGACCUACUCAUUUAAGGGUUUUUGUUUAUUUUUACUAUUUUCUACAUUGUAGAAUAAUAGUUAAGAUAUCGAAACUAUGAAAUAACACAUAUGGAAUCAUGUAGUAACCAAAAAAGUGUUAAACAAAUCAAAAUAUAUUUUAUAGUUUAGAUUCUUCAAAGUAAACACCUUUUGCCUUGAUGACAGCUUUGCACACUCUUGGUAUUCUCUCAACCAGCUUCAUCUGGAAUGCUUUUCCAAUGUUCUUGAAGGAGUUCCCACAUAUGCUGAGCACAUGUUGGCUGCUUUUCCUUCACUCUGCGGUCCAACUCAUCCCAAACCAUCACAAUUCGGUUGAGGUCGGGUGAUUGUGGAGGCCACGUCAUCUGAUGCAGCAUUCCAUCACUCUCCUCCUUGGUCAGAUAGCCCUUACACAGCCUGGAGGUGUGUUCGGUCAUUGUCCUGUUGAAAAACAAAUCAUAGUCCCACUAAGCACAAACCAGUUGGAAUGGCCUAUUGCUGCAGAAUGCUGUGAUAGACAUUUUGGUGAAGUGUGCCUUGAAUACUAAAUAAAUCACAGUGUCACCAGCAAAGCAAUUGUGUAUCUUGUGAGGGUUUUAGGGGCCAAGCCGAAUUUCUUCAGCCUCCUGAGGUUGAAGAGGUGCUGUUGCGCCUUCGUCACCACACUGUCUGUGUGGGUGGACCAUUUCAGAUUGUCAGUGAUGUGUACGCCGAGGAAGUUGAAG
rnacentral:lncRNA from 1 species